rnacentral:rRNA from 1 species
UACGAAGGGUGCAAGCGUUAAUCGGAAUUACUGGGCGUAAAGGGUGCGUAGGCGGUUCGUUAAGUCUGUUGUGAAAUCCCCGGGCUCAACCUGGGAAUGGCAAUGGAUACUGGCGGGCUAGAGUGUGUCAGAGGAUGGUGGAAUUCCCGGUGUAGCGGUGAAAUGCGUAGAGAUCGGGAGGAACAUCAGUGGCGAAGGCGGCCAUCUGGGACAACACUGACGCUGAAGCACGAAAGCCAGGGGAGCAAACGGG